rnacentral:rRNA from 1 species
GUCCACGCCGUAAACGAUGAUAACUAGCUGUCGGGGGUCAUAGACCUUCGGUGGCGCAGCUAACGCAUUAAGUUAUCCGCCUGGGGAGUACGGCCGCAAGGUUAAAACUCAAAGAAAUUGACGGGGGCCUGCACAAGCGGUGGAGCAUGUGGUUUAAUUCGAAGCAACGCGCAGAACCUUACCAGCGUUUGACAUCCUCAUCGCGGAUUCCAGAGAUGGUUUCCUUCAGUUCGGCUGGAUGAGUGACAGGUGCUGCAUGGCUGUCGU